rnacentral:rRNA from 1 species
UACGGGGGGGGCAAGCGUUUGUUCGGAAUUACUGGGCGUAAAGGGCUCGUAGGCGGCCAACUAAGUCAGACGUGAAAUCCCUCGGCUUAACCGGGGAACUGCGUCUGAUACUGGAUGGCUUGAGUGUGGGAGAGGGAUGCGGAAUUCCAGGUGUAGCGGUGAAAUGCGUAGAUAUCUGGAGGAACACCGGUGGCGAAGGCGGCAUCCUGGACCUUCUGACGCUGAGGAGCGAAAGCCAGGGGAGCAAACGGG